CAGCUCAGGAGUCCGUUCCAAGAGCGUUGCCGCCUGCAGGCCCCGGAUGGGCUUCACAGCGGGAUAAGAGAGUCACAGGGAUCAAACUCAGGACCUGGCACCACUGGACUAAACCCUCAGCGCCAGCUUUAUUCUUUUGUAAAGGAAAUUUUUUGGAUUGCUUAUGUUCUGGGAACGGAACCCAGGGCCUUAUGCUGCUAGCAAGUGCUCUAUCACUGAGCUACAUCGCUGCCCCACAUCCCAGACCCUUGGUGUUUUCUACGAAACACUGUCAUCUGUGAAAGAUACAUCGACCUCUUUCAGACAGCAACAGGAACCUGAGAAGAGGACACAGCAAAGGGCGUAAGGGAGAAAUGAGCAAGAAGAACUCAGCCUACACCUAACACGUAGACCUCUGAAAAG